CUGAAGUGAUUUUUCGAAAAAGAGCAUCUGAGUAUUUUAAUUUAAUCAAUUGAAUUUUUUAAAAUUUACUUAUAAACAAUAUUUUAAGUAGAAAAAAUAGCUACGCCACGUUCUGAGAAAGAGACUGCAAUAUACCCAGACAAUUUAAAUAAUUAGAAUUUAAAUAAUGUGUUACGAAGUAAUCUGUGAUAAAUGUAAAAAGAAAACAUGGACUGGUUGUGGGAAACAUAAAGAUGCAGUUAUGAGUAAAAUUCCAGAAAAAGAACAAUGUCAAUGUCCUCGUGAUCAAAAAUGAAGCAACCUAGCAUGAUACGAAAAGGUUUUUGUUGGAAGUUUGUAUUGCAUUUUUAUUACUGAAUUAAGAAGUUAUACUUUUAUUUGAUUACGCAUAUUUAAAUGUUAAUUGCAUAUUUAUAGUUUAUAUUGUAUAUUUAUCUUUUAAUUUUUUUAAUAUAUUUGUUCAUGAAUUGUACGAAGUUCACAAUUUCUUUAUGAAAUAAAAUUUCUUCAGCAUAAUUUAA